rnacentral:rRNA from 3 species
UGUUUGAUGUUCUAACGUGGACCCGUAAUCCGGGUUGCGGACAGUGUCUGGUGGGUAGUUUGACUGGGGCGGUCUCCUCCUAAAGAGUAACGGAGGAGCACGAAGGUUGGCUAAUCCUGGUCGGACAUCAGGAGGUUAGUGCAAUGGCAUAAGCCAGCUUGACUGCGAGCGUGACGGCGCGAGCAGGUGCGAAAGCAGGUCAUAGUGAUCCGGUGGUUCUGAAUGGAAGGGCCAUCGCUCAACGGAUAAAAGGUACUCCGGGGAUAACAGGCUGAUACCGCCCAAGAGUUCAUAUCGACGGCGGUGUUUGGCACCUCGAUGUCGGCUCAUCACAUCCUGGGGCUGAAGUAGGUCCCAAGGGUAUGGCUGUUCGCCAUUUAAAGUGGUACGCGAGCUGGGUUUAGAACGUCGUGAGACAGUUCGGUCCCUAUCUGCCGUGGGCGCUGGAGAACUGAGGGGGGCUGCUCCUAGUACGAGAGGACCGGAGUGGACGCAUCACUGGUGUUCGGGUUGUCAUGCCAAUGGCACUGCCCGGUAGCUAAAUGCGGAAGAGAUAAGUGCUGAAAGCAUCUAAGCACGAAACUUGCCCCGAGAUGAGUUCUCCCUGAGACUUAGAGUCUCCUGAAGGAACGUUGAAGACGACGACGUUGAUAGGCCGGGUGUGUAAGCGCAGCGAUGCGUUGAGCUAACCGGUACUAAUGAACCGUGAGGCUUAACCUUAC